rnacentral:other from 1 species
CGAAAGCUGAGCUUUUUGUUAGGAACUUUAAUCCUUGGGGCCAUAAGUAUUCUAAGGGAGCCGUCACUGUUUUAGCCGAGGUUAAAGUAAAUGGUGCCCACCUGGUUAACAGGCAACAUAGGAUAACUUGUCCGACGAUUGUUUGGCUUUCGU